rnacentral:rRNA from 1 species
UACGUAGGGGGCAAGCGUUGUCCGGAUUUAUUGGGCGUAAAGAGCGUGUAGGCGGUUUGGUAGGUCCGCUGUGAAAACUCGAGGCUCAACCUCGAGACGCCGGUGGAAACCAUCAGGCUAGAGUCCGGAAGAGGAGAGUGGAAUUCCUGGUGUAGCGGUGAAAUGCGCAGAUAUCAGGAGAACACCCGUGGCUAAGGCGGCUCUCUAGUACGGUACUGACGCUGAGACGCGAAAGCGUGGGGAGCGAACAGG